rnacentral:rRNA from 1 species
CGAAAGCCUGACGGAGCAAGACCGCGUGAGGGAGGAAGGCUCUUGGGUUGUAAACCUCUUUUCUCAGGGAAGAAGCUCUGACGGUACCUGAGGAAUCAGCCUCGGCUAACUCCGUGCCAGCAGCCGCGGUAAUACGGAGGAAGCAAGCGUUAUCCGGAUUUAUUGGGCGUAAAGCGUUCGCAGGUGGUUUUUCAAGUCUGCUGUUAAAGACAGUGGCUCAACUACUGAAAGGCAGUAGAUACUGAAAGACUAGAGUGCCGUAGGGGUAGAGGGAAUUCCCGGUGUAGCGGUGAAAUGCGUAGAGAUCGGGAAGAACAUCGGUGGCGAAAGCGCUCUACUGGACCGCAACUGACACUGAGGGACGAAAGCUAGGGGAGCG